rnacentral:rRNA from 1 species
CCUACGGGAGGCAGCAGUGAGGAAUAUUGGUCAAUGGGCGCGAGCCUGAACCAGCCAAGUCGCGUGAGGGAAGACGGUCCUAUGGAUUGUAAACCUCUUUUGUCGGGGAGCAAAAGACGCCACGCGUGGCGUUCCGAGUGUACCCUACGAACAAGCAUCGGCUAACCCCGUGCCAGCAGCCGCGGUAAUACGGGGGAUGCGAGCGUUAUCCGGAUUUAUUGGGUUUAACGGGUGCGCAGGCGGAAGAUCAAGUCAGCGGUAAAAUUGAGAGGCUCAACCUCUUCGAGCCGUUGAAACUGGUUGGCUUGAGUGAGCGAGAGGGAGGCGGAAUGCGUGGUGUAGCGGUGAAAUGCAUAGAUAUCACGCAGAACUCCGGUUGCGAAGGCAGCAUACCGGAGCUCAACUGACGCUCAUGCACGAAAGUGUGGGUAUCGAACAGGAUUAGAUACCCGGGUAGUC